UGCAGCAGCUGCAGUGGCAGCAAAAUUAACUGCAUCGACAUCCUCAGCCCAGAUGCUUUCUUAUGUCCUCUCUUCACUUGCAUCUGAAGGCGGCAUUGGCAAUCCAUUAAAAGAAUCAUCUGGUGAAUACCCCUCUGGAAAGAAGGCUAAGCUCGAGAAUGAUCAGCCUUACAUGCUGAGCCAGAAUCCUUCACGGCAACCACUUCCUUCUUUUCAACAUCCUGAUACUUUCCAAGUGGCAACCACUGGUCAGCAAUUAACUUCAAAUGAUCCACCACCUCCCCCAUCAUCACCUCCACCACCACCUCCACUACCGCCCAUGCCAUCAUAUUCAAUUCCCCAGUACAUGCAGACUGCUGGAUCAAUAAAUGCUGGACCAUACAGCUACGGCAUGUCCCUGCAGCAGCCACCAUUCUUGCCUGGCUAUCCUGGAGUUGGGACUCAAAUGACAGGUAUCCCUUCCUUUGCACUGCCCCCAACAAAUUCAUACCCAAGUUAUCAGGGUUCGGAUGGUAAUUUUUACAGCCAACCAUCAUCGAUGCCAAUUUCCCGGCAGUAGAAUUUUUGAAGGCUGUUUACAGUGGGGAGGUGGUUUUGCCGUGGAAGCAUGAGAGAUAUCAAAAAACUAAUGUAGCUUGUAAGUUACCCAUGUGCCUUUGAUUAUACCCCUAAUUAGAUUUGCACAUAGUAAAUGUUUACUGCUGGCGUUUAAACAAU
rnacentral:misc_RNA from 1 species